AUCCAGCUGACGAAUCCCGAAUAAGGCGAAGCAUGCGUCCUGGAU
rnacentral:hammerhead_ribozyme from 1 species